CUGAGGCCGGGAAAUUUUAGCCUGCCCCGCGUGGGUGUGGGGCCCGGGGUGGGCUCCACACGGCAUCUGGAGGCAGAGACAGGCUCAGAGCACAAGGACUGGACCCCAGUUGGAGGGGGAGAUCCAUCCCACCUGAUUUUAGAUGCCCUGCUCCAGUCAGGUGCAGCUUGCAGAGAAGCCCGAGGCUGUUGCAGGAGAUUCAGUGGAAGAGAAGCAAAGAAAAAGGCAGGCACUACCGUGGCAUCCUGGCAAUCUCGUGCACGAGCUAAGAUUAAAGGCGCUCCUUGCUGAAACCCCUCCUCUUGAGUUUACAGUUCACCAGUUUCAACCCGGAGAUUGGGUGCUGAUCAAGUCCUGAAAGGAAACUAAGCUCCAACCAAGCUGGGAAGGACCCUAUCAAGCGUUCUAUCAACUGAAACAGCCAUGUGAACUGCUGGAAAAGGGCGAAUGCAUCAUACCCAUGUCAAGAAAUCACCAAAAGAAGGCUUUUACUUUGUUGGGCUUUUUCAUUUAAACUUUGACGGGAACCAAUUAGAACAAAAUCUUGUAAGCUACUCGGCAAAUUGGACAUGCAAAUGAACUAACUAGGGAACCCAACCAACGUACAACAUGUAGGCGAUGUCUGGGAAAGUAUUGUAACCUCUGGAAGUACCCUGCCUAUGGAGAAACAGGGGAGAGAUUUGCAUUUUAGGGCUUAAAUACUCUGGUUGAACUGCUUCUGUGUGUCUGCUCUUCUGAGGGACACCCGUUCUUGCAAGAGCGUUAUUAAAAGGUUGCUUCACUCUA